UACGUAGGGUGCAAGCGUUGUCCGGAAUUAUUGGGCGUAAAGAGCUCGUAGGCGGUCUGUCGCGUCUGCUGUGAAAACUCGGGGCUUAACCCCGGGCCUGCAGUGGGUACGGGCAGACUAGAGUGCGGUAGGGGAGACUGGAAUUCCUGGUGUAGCGGUGAAAUGCGCAGAUAUCGGGAGGAACACCGGUGGCGAAGGCGGUUCUCUGGGCCUUACCUGACGCUGAGGAGCGAAAGCGUGGGGAGCAAACAGG
rnacentral:rRNA from 1 species